CACAGGAGAGCUUGCUCUCUGGGUGACGAGCGGCGGACGGGUGAGUAAUGUCUGGGAAACUGCCCGAUGGAGGGGGAUAACUACUGGAAACGGUAGCUAAUACCGCAUAACGUCUUCGGACCAAAGAGGGGGACCUUCGGGCCUCUUGCCAUCGGAUGUGCCCAGAUGGGAUUAGCUAGUAGGUGGGGUAAUGGCUCACCUAGGCGACGAUCCCUAGCUGGUCUGAGAGGAUGACCAGCCACACUGGAACUGAGACACGGUCCAGACUCCUACGGGAGGCAGCAGUGGGGAAUAUUGCACAAUGGGCGCAAGCCUGAUGCAGCCAUGCCGCGUGUAUGAAGAAGGCCUUCGGGUUGUAAAGUACUUUCAGCGAGGAGGAAGGCGUUGCGGUUAAUAACCGCAGCGAUUGACGUUACUCGCAGAAGAAGCACCGGCUAACUCCGUGCCAGCAGCCGCGGUAAUACGGAGGGUGCAAGCGUUAAUCGGAAUUACUGGGCGUAAAGCGCACGCAGGCGGUCUGUCAAGUCGGAUGUGAAAUCCCCGGGCUCAACCUGGGAACUGCAUUCGAAACUGGCAGGCUAGAGUCUUGUAGAGGGGGGUAGAAUUCCAGGUGUAGCGGUGAAAUGCGUAGAGAUCUGGAGGAAUACCGGUGGCGAAGGCGGCCCCCUGGACAAAGACUGACG
rnacentral:rRNA from 1 species